CCACGCAUGCGCGGUCAUCUAAAAAUAUAACGAAAUACGCAUAGGGCAUUGCGUCAAUAGGCGAAUAUAUCUAAAAGAAAUAACGCUGAGCCGAGCAUUCAUGAAGAAUUAUCAGUAAACUAAGUUAUAUGAAAAGAUAAAUUUAGAUAUGACUACGGCAGUACUUGUUCGUUCUGUUUGUACAAAUACAAACAGUGUGAUAAAUUUAAUCGGAAGUAACUUUCGGAUUGGCGUACUUUCGGUUCAGCCGCAGAAACUUGUACAGAAAAGAUGUGUAGCCACUAAAUCUGAUGUGGAUGCAACAAUAAAAGAAUACAAGGAAGGCAAUUUUGAAAAUUUGCCAGAUCCUGAUAAACUAACACACUUCAG